GACGAACGCUGGCGGCGUGCCUAAUACAUGCAAGUCGAACGCAGUGGGGACGGGUGAGUAACACGUGGGUAACCUCCCAUCAGAGGGGAUAACACUUGGAAACAGGUGCUAAAACGAUACUAAUGGAUGGACCCGCGGGGCAUUAGCUAGUGGGUGAGGUAACGGCUCACCAAGGCCACGAUGCAUAACCGGCCGGAGGUGGUGAUCGGCCACACUGGGACUGAGACACGGCCCAGACGCCUACGGGAGGCAGCAGUAGGGAAUCGUCGGAAAUGGACGAAAUUCUGACCGAGCAACGCCGCGUGAGUUAAGAAGGUUUUCGGAUCGUAAAACUCUGUUGUUAGAUAAGCGGUAUCUAACCAGAAAGCCACGGCUAACUACGUGCCAGCAGCCGCGGUAAUUC
rnacentral:rRNA from 1 species